UACGUAGGGUGCGAGCGUUGUCCGGAAUUACUGGGCGUAAAGAGCUCGUAGGUGGUUUGUCGCGUUGUUCGUGAAAUCUCACGGCUUAACUGUGAGCGUGCGGGCGAUACGGGCAGACUGGAGUACUGCAGGGGAGACUGGAAUUCCUGGUGUAGCGGUGGAAUGCGCAGAUAUCAGGAGGAACACCGGUGGCGAAGGCGGGUCUCUGGGCAGUAACUGACGCUGAGGCACGAAAGCGUGGGGAGCAAACAGG
rnacentral:rRNA from 1 species